rnacentral:misc_RNA from 1 species
UUUCCGUAGGUGAACCUGCGGAAGGAUCAUUAACGAGUUAGGGUCUUCUAGGCCCGACCUCCCAACCCUAUGUUUAUUGAACCUCUGUUGCUUCGGCGGACCCGCCUCACGGCCGCCGGAGGACCGCUGCAAGGCGUCCUCUGGCCAGCGUCCGCCGAUGGCCAACCACUUAAACUCUGAAUGAAUCGUGUCAUGUGUCUAAGUCUAUGAUUAAAUUAAAGCAAAACUUUCAACAACGGAUCUCUUGGUUCUG